GAUGAACGCUGGCGGCGUGCCUAAUACAUGCAAGUCGAGCGAACAGACGAGGAGCUUGCUCCUCUGACGUUAGCGGCGGACGGGUGAGUAACACGUGGAUAACCUACCUAUAAGACCGGGAUAACUUCGGGAAACCGGAGCUAAUACCGGAUAAUAUAUUGAACCGCAUGGUUCAAUAGUGAAAGACGGUUUUGCUGUCACUUAUAGAUGGAUCCGCGCCGCAUUAGCUAGUUGGUAAGGUAACGGCUUACCAAGGCGACGAUGCGUAGCCGACCUGAGAGGGUGAUACGCCACACUGGAACUGAGACACGGUCCAGACUCCUACGGGAGGCAGCAGUAGGGAAUCUUCCGCAAUGGGCGAAAGCCUGACGGAGCAACGCCGCGUGAGUGAUGAAGGUCUUCGGAUCGUAAAACUCUGUUAUUAGGGAAGAACAAAUGUGUAAGUAACUAUGCACGUCUUGACGGUACCUAAUCAGAAAGCCACGGCUAACUACGUG
rnacentral:rRNA from 1 species